rnacentral:rRNA from 1 species
CCUACGGGUGGCAGCAGUGAGGCAUAUUUGUCAAUGGGCGCGAGCCUGAACCAGCCAAGUAGCGUGAAGGAUGACUGCCCUACGGGUUGUCAACUUCUUUUAUAAAGGAAUAAAGUGAGGCACGUGUGCCUUUUUGUCUGUACUUUAUGAAUAAGGAUCGGCUAACUCCGUGCCAGCAGCCGCGGUAAUACGGAGGAUCCGAGCGUUAUCCGAAUUUAUUGGGUUUAAAUGGAUCGUAGAUGUGUGGUUAAGUCAGUUGUGAAAGUUUGCGGCUCAACCGUAAAAUUGCAAUUGAUACUGGCAGUCUUGAGUACAGUUGAGGUAGGCGGAAUUCGUGGUGUAGCGGUGAAAUGCUUAGAUAUCACGAAGAACUCCGAUUGCGAAGGCAGCUUACUAAACUGCCACUGACAGUGAUGCUCGAAAGUGUGGGUAUCAAACAGGAUUAGAGACCCGAGUAGUC